rnacentral:rRNA from 1 species
UACGGAGGAUGCAAGCGUUAUCCGGAAUGAUUGGGCGUAAAGCGUCCGCAGGUGGUUGUGUGAGUCUAUUGUCAAAGCAUCAUGCUUAACAUGAUAAUGGCAGUAGAAACUACACUGCUAGAGUGCGUUCGGGGCAGAGGGAAUUCCUGGUGUAGCGGUGAAAUGCGUAGAGAUCAGGAAGAACACCAGUGGCGAAAGCGCUCUGCUAGUCCGCAACUGACACUGAAGGAAGAAAGCUAGGGGAGCGAAUGGG